CUCUUCUUGCUUUAACACAGAAGAAACAACCCAGGUUAUACUCUUUCAUCUAAACUGGACAUUUAUUUGUAAAUGAGGGAUUGGGCUGUUGUUGAAUAAACAGGGGAUAAGUUAAAAGAGAUUGCUUGAAGAAGGAUUCUGGGAGUUAACAAUGGCUGUGGACAUGUGAAGGAAUAGAAGAGAUGCCAGUGGCACCCCUGUCCCAGAUGUGACAACCAAAAAUGAUGUCAGACAUUGCUGAAUUGUCCCCUGGAGGAGGAGAAAAAUCAACCCCUUUGAGAACUGCUGGGCAGCUCUAAAGGUCAUCCCUAAGUUCAGGGUGAGGAGAUGACCUACCCUUCUGCCCCGCAACGCCAUCCUACAUCUGAAAUUCUUCUUAAGGGCAUGGUGGAAACCCUUACCUUUGAGAUGAGCCCAGUACCAGCACUAACAUAUGGAACCAUAGAGUUGACACUGGAGGAACCCCCAGGUUUCAUUUGAGAGGACACUGGAGUUCAGCGUGGAAGAAAGGCCUGCCCAAAGUCACACAGCCCAGGGCUCCUGGCAGGGAGCCACGGCUGCUUUCUCUGCUCCAUACUGGAAUUAAAGGUUGAAUUCCAGGCAAUUUUCCAGUUCCUAGUCCCACUGGAUGGAAAGUCAACACACCUGGUUCUCUCAGUGAUCUGAAAUCACAUGCAGAAAUCCACUCCUUAGUCACAAAGAGAAGUUAGUGGAAGUGUGUUUUGUUCCUAGUUAUCCUCUCCAAAGGUUCAGCCCUUUGCAUUCCCUUAGGAGAAAACAGGGCCUGCCCUCCUCAUGUCUGUCACCUGUCCAAGAUCAUUCCUUCUAUCAUUCACCUCCCAUUAACCAAAAUCCCCUUCUCUAGGUACCUGGGUCUUGGACAGCUGUCAAGUGGAAAGCCUUCUGAUUAACUAAUACUAUAAUGUAAAUGACUGCAAAGUUCCCUCUUGUGAUAACUGAGUCCUGGACAGUGGUCAAGGAAGAAAUCCUUCUUAUUAAUUCCCAGUAAGAUGUGAAUCACUGACAACUAGCUCUCCAAUUGUAUCGUCAAAGAGAGUGCCUGGAGGUUCAAAAUGUUCGUAAUUCCUUUCAUUUGUUUGACAAUUAUAGAAGUUUUGCUCAAAUCUGGGUUUAGUCACUUAGGAGCUUUGACCUUAUUAAAGUUAUUUAACCUCCCUGAGCCUCAGUUACCUCACUGGGAAAAUGAAGAUCAUAAUUAGACCCCAAAAUAUCAGGUGAGAAUUAACUGGGCUCACAGCAUAGCCUCUGACUGAUUAUAGGUGCUUAAUAAAUGUUAGUUCCUUUUGAAAGAUAGAAGUUGCCACCCAUGGAGAUUUUAAAACUUGCUCAAGAGCACUGCUGGUGAGAGCUGGGUCAGAAACAGCAGUUCAGAAGCUUCUAGCAGCGUUGCAAAGUCCCUCCUGGCAGGACAUCAGCAUUGGUCUCAUUCAUUGACACAUGUCUGAGGCCCAUGCCUGGGUACUAGGGAUAUGGGCAAUGUGGAGAGGCUGGUGGGCAGAGUACUUGGAGAGUGGUAGUUGCAUGGGAGUAGUCACAGAAAUCACUGUUUUGGGAGUCUUCAGCAGACUCCAUCACUGUGGCCAAGCUGGGGAGAUGAGGGUGGCUUGAGGUUGGGUUAGACAGGCAGGGCAGAGGUGUGUGGCAUUGUUGAUGGGCCAGGUCAACUUGGAUGAGGUCUCUUGGCAUGCACCUCUCCUAGGGGAUGUGAGAGCUGACCUCUGUGGGGAAAGACCUGGGCUAUCCAUCACCUGUUUGCUCAGGGCAUUAUGCCCUUGUGUGAGAGGCAGCUGAGUGGCCACAGGGCCUCUGCAGCCUCCAAACCUGGGAGACAAAGAGGGGAAGGCUGACUCCCUCUUGGUGAGGAACCAACUUCUUCUAAUUCAAGGAGGCUGGGGCUGCCACCACCUGACAUCAGCCAUGGGGACCGGUUUGUUCUGUCAUGUCUUCAGAGGACUGGCCUUGGAAAGCAGCACUGCUGGAAAUCCUGCUGUAAAGCACAGACUUCUGCCAUGGAGUCCAAGUUUGUCCAAGUUUUCAUGCAAUGGGUUUGCUAAAAGUGGGACCUAUUGUUUUGUUAUAGAAACCUGGGCUAAGGACUCACAGCAGAUAAAAAUAAACUUAUUUCAUUAUCAAAGUAAAACAUGUCCAUUGCAAAGGAUAUAGAAAAUACAAGAAAAGUGAAAUGUUAAAAUCAUGCACAGUGCCAUCCCAAACUCUUACUAAGAUUCUAUGUGUUAUGUUCGUGCAAAAGUAACUGCAGUUUUACCAUUACUUUUAAUGGCAAAUUAAAAGUUUAUUCCCUUUGAUGCAAUAUUGGGACUCUAAUUAAAAGUUACGGCAAACUCGCAAAACCUAAUAUUUUCUUCUACCAUUUUUUCCACAUACAUUUUUGCAGAUGUCAUCUUAGUUUCCUGCCAUUUUGUCACAUGCAUAAACAUAUUUUAAAUUAUUAUAAUAUGCUUAUACAUUUCUUUUGUUUACUGUCUUUUU
rnacentral:lncRNA from 10 species